rnacentral:rRNA from 1 species
UACGUAGGGUGCGAGCGUUAAUCGGAAUACUGGCGUAAAACGUGCGCAGCGGUUGUGCAGACAGAUGUGAAAUCCCCGGGCUUAACCUGGGAACUGCAUUUGUGACUGCACGGCUAGAGUGCGGCAGAGGGGAGUGGAAUUCCGCGUGUAGCAGUGAAAUGCGUAGAUAUGCGGAGGAACACCGAUGGCGAAGGCAGCUCCCUGGGCCUGCACUGACGCUCAUGCACGAAAGCGUGGGGAGCAAACA